UCCUUCUCAAUGAGCUCCUUCCUGCCAGACAGUGGCAGCCUAUGGAUUCGCAUGAGAAGAAAAUGAACAUCCCAGUUCCUGGCACUUUUACCUCUGUUUCUAGAUGGUUUGUUCUGCCAGGGCUGUGAGACAUUC